UGCAACUGCCAAGCUAAAGUAUUGGAUGGCUGGUGUUCAGCUCUCCAGCUCUUUCUUCCUUUGAUGUGGCAAUCAGGAAAGCAUAUGUUGACUUGAAGGUGUCAUGAGAUGAAGAAAACUGAAGUGCUGAGCCACCACAUGGAAGGUGCCUUAGCUAAAGUGUUGCCAUACUUGGAAAAUUAAUAACCUCCUUCUAUAACAGCAAAACUAUAUAAUGUAUACAAUUUUACGCCUUUAUACAAAGUCAAGAGAACAGGGUAAAAUCCUGCUUGCUGCACAUAACGGAAGAAAAGUUAAUACCAACGAAUCCCUCCUCCAACUACCACAAAGACAAGAAGGAUAUGCCAAUUCACCAUAAACUACAAUGAUGGUGGAGAAUAGGUCAGUUUCUCAGCAUUGCAGCUUCAGCCCACAAGAUUCCUGUAUUUCCCCAUAUGGGACACUCAAUGAGAGAGUGAGUGAAUGAGAGAGAGGCACUAGAUGACAAAACAUUUACCCCUGGAUUUUUGAGUCACCUUUUUACUUCAAAUCCCAGAUGACUCUAGCCAAAUAAAAGGAUAAAUAUUCUGUGUUGACCUAUUUCCCUCAACCAGAGCCUGGGAAAGAAUCUAAAAUGGUAAUUUGGAGGAUGCCUCUUGCUGACAACCGAAUGAUCCUUUAAAUUCAAUCAGGUCUUUUAGUUAUUAAACAAUAACAUUUGUUUAUUAUUAUUGUUAAAUUCACCACCAGAGGGAGCUCAUCUUUUCCUGUCAUCUAGAGACCAAUAGACUACAAAGUAACGACUGUUCUCCUAAUUUCAGUAUUAAAAUAUAUAAUUUUUGCCUGGGAUAAAUGUUGGAAUGUGUGUUUACAUUGAGCUAUUCUAGUUGUCUCAGAAAGCAGCAGAGAAACUUCAAUCAACC
rnacentral:lncRNA from 10 species